AUCAGCCAGAUUAUAGGCUGGACUAAGGCUCCAAACAAGGACCACACUCCUGAAUCACACCCACUGGCUGCUUUGGAGGUGGUGUUAUGCUCAAGGUUACAGGAAUAACCCAACUGGGUCUGGUUACGGAGAAGGAGAUCACCCUGCUUCCUCCUCCCCGUCGCACCCUGGAUGUGCCUCCAUUUGUCUCUGGCUGUGAAACAGCAGCACACACUAAAGCAGAAGGCUGUCCUUCAGCUGGCACUGGGACAAAGAGAGGAGAGGGCUGGGAGCUCCCCUUGACCUGCUGAUGGAGGCAAGAGCCUUGGUGAUAACCCUGUCUUCACCUGGAUUUUAUCUCAUGUGAGUUUUACCAUGAAUUCUGUCAUUCAUGCUCUUCCUGUUUCUUUCUCUGGAGUCAGUGAAGACCUGAGCUCUUCCUAAGAGACACUUCAUUUCCACCCAACAUGCUGGUUUAGUGAGAGACUUGCUGCUUAACCUGGAGGCUGGGGUAGAUGGUGGGGUUGCUGCUUUGAGCCUCCCAGCUUGUGGGAGCGCUGCCAUUUCCUGCUCCCGCCUCCCAGCACGGGGCCCUCACAACUGCUCUCCCUGGCAAUGGCCUGUUUCCAGCGGUGUCUUCCAGCAGCAAUCAGCGCUGGAGUGGGGGCUGCGUGCCCAGGAACCAAGCACUGGGGAGCAGCGCCUGGUUUCAAGCGUUGCUCUGUGGGUUGCAAGCACAACUAUCCAUUUCCUCCCUCCUGAGCUCCACGUGGCCACUGUAGCUCUCCCUUCUCGGCAUGUGCCAGCGCUCGGGUGCUGCAGGAUUGUUCCAUGGUAUGGGUCUCAAAAUACUGAUACCCCUUAGGGUGGUUUUGUGCAGCUUCCCCCCUGCCACGGGUAUUUUGAGGAGCCUGGUCUGGCUCAAAAUGAGCUGCACUCCCUCUGCUGCUCCCCAGAACUGUGGGGCUGGUCAUCCUCCCUCGUUACCAGCGCCAUGGAUGCAAGCAGCGGGAGGAGCAGAGCCAACAGCACGCGCUGGCUGUGCCCCUUACUAAUGUUGUUCAUAAUGUUUCUGUGCCAUCUUCCUUCUUUCCACCCUCUCCCUGAACAACUAAAUUAAUUAGAGUGGGUUUUUGUAUUUAAAUACUGUCAUGGAAUAAUAAUCCUGGUGAAUUCAAUUUUUUUUUUUUUUGUCAUUCCCCACUGCUUCUUUUCUCUGUUGUGCUCUCUUUUAAUAUGCUGCUGAUACUUUGUUAUAGCUAUGCAAGAUCACAGCUGUUGUCUGAAAAAAAAAAAAAAGAGUAAAAUCAUUCUGUGUGCUGUUGCCAUCCAAAACCCAUUUUUCUUUCUCCACCAGCUCACAAAAUAACCCUUCCCCUAUUAAGUGCAGAAGCAUACAUUUCUCUUGGCUUGUAAAAAGCCAAAAAGCCUCACAGCAGCUUCAGCGAAGCUGCAGCAGUGGAAGGAAGUCAAAGCUCCUAUAACAGGCGGGGGCUCCAUCCUGAGCCUGUUAUGAGCUUGGAUUGUGUGAGUUCUGGAUGCCAGGAGUGACUCCACAGAGGCAGCAGGUCUGUGGGCACCACCAGCUCCUGUGCUUUACUAGCCACUGAGUUUUGUUUACCUGGAUGUGUUAAUUUGACCUGUAAACAUGUUUCCUGAAAGGACCCUGUAACAAAGCCAUUCCUGCCGCUCUCAUAAAGGGACAAAACAUUCCCAUUAGAGCCCAAAAUUAUAUUUACAGUAUUUUGCUUUACACUGGCCUUUCCGGACAGCUUUCCUCAGCCCUGCCAGGCCCUCUCUGACCCUUUGAAGUCAGCCCUUGGUGGUCACUGGCAUCGAGACCAAAGCUAAGCAAGGAUCAAGCGGUAGAAGGACCCUGCUCUCAUCAACAGCGCAGAGCAGUAAAUGAAGGAGAGCCAGGAUGGAGAUUUGAGUCGUUGUCUCCCAGUCCACAGUUCCAAUUACAAAACCGACUUCAAUCAGCCUCACAAUGCACACAGCCAGUUCUGAAAUUCCUCCUUGACUGCCUGACCCCGGCCCUGUCCAGCGCCUGCACUGCCUACACCUCACGUCUCUGAUGUGUCAGGGCGGUUCUAAAUAAAGCUCGGCUGAGGCCCGUGCAGUUCCAAUUAACACACAGGAGCUGUGUGACCGCUUGGCAGGGCUUGCCCUGGCCCUGCUGCCUCUAACAAGGGUGAUGAGGGUGGCUGAGGGGAGAAUGCAUUAAAGGAGCGAGAUGAAAAGCUUGUUUUCCCCCCAGAAUGCAGCUCCUGGAGAGGUGCACAGGGCGCUGCUGGGUCAGUGUGUUCAGCAGUCUCAGCUCCCCGCUCGGGCCAGAGGGAGGAGGAAGCUUGGUGGCUGCCUGGGUUUUUUGGAAAGCAGAGCCAUGUAAAGCAAAACCUUUUAAGGGGAUCCAGAGAGGGCUGAAAACGGGGGGCACCUGCUGUGACACCCACAGGGGAAGAUGAUGGUGAAUGCCAAAGACAGGGGAGCGACCCCGUCCUUCCCAGGCCAUGCACAGCCUGCUCCUAACCCAUCAGACAUACCCUCAGCAUGUGCCUCUGAGUCCAGCCUCCACAUUCCUGGCCACCCCUGGAACCAGAAUGGACCCUGCUCAGGGAGACAGAGGUGAUGAGGAGCCUGCAGCUGGGGUGCAGAGGCAGGGAAGUAUUAACUUCCAUGUGUUUUGCCUCAGAAUUGAGUCUGGAGUGUGUUCCACACCCAAAAGGGACAGGAUGACUCUGAGGCUCUGCUGGGAACAGGGAUGUUGGUAAUGUGGCACAAAAGGUAAUUCAGCCCCUGGUGACGUGAUAUACAACCACCUUGCCAGAUGCUUCAACCCCCCAAACAGUUGUAAGUGCUCCUCCACGGGCCUCAGUUAAAUUCCCUCCAGGAUGUAAACUUGGGCUUGUUUGGACCAAUACCUACAGACUUGAUUGCAACAGCAGAUGGUUUAUUUCUACCUGCAAGUGAGAACGGGGAGUGUAUAUCACGGCCCUGACACAUUUUACAUGGAGCAGAUGUUUCUAUUAAUGCCAGAAUUGGGUGGAAAUGCAAAGGAUGCUUUUUGCUUUUUUCUCCCCCCUCAAAACUAUUUUACUCAAUUAAAUUGCAACUUGCUGAAGUAUUCCAGUGAAUCACUUCCCUUUUUUUUUUUUUUUUUUUUUGUUUGAUUAGUAGGCUCUAAAGGGACAAAAGAAUAGCUUUGUAUCAGUCUCCCUCAAUUACAUGUAAAGUACAUCUCGACAGAGUCUGAAGAUCCAUCUUUCACUGGCAGUUGCAAAGCCAUCGACAUAAUAAAAUAAUACUCUGAUUGGUA